GAUGAAGAACGCAGCGAAAUGCGAUAAGUAAUGUGAAUUCAGAAUUCAGUGAAUCAUCGAGUCUUUGAACGCACAUUGCGCCCCCUGGUAUUCCGGGGGGCAUGCCUGUCCGAGCGUCAUUGCUGCCCUCAAGCACGGCUUGUGUGUUGGGCCCCCGUCCCCGGUUUCCCCCGGGGACGGGCCCGAAAGGCAGCGGCGGCACCGCGUCCGGUCCUCGAGCGUAUGGGGCUUUGUCACCCGCUCUGUAGGCCCGGCCGGCGCCAGCCGACACCCAACUUUAUUUCUAAGGUUGACCUCGGAUCAGGUAGGGAUACCCGCUGAACUUAAGCAUAUCAAUAAGCGGAGGA
rnacentral:misc_RNA from 1 species